rnacentral:tRNA from 1 species
GCUGGAUUAGCUCAAUUAGGUAGAGCACCUGACUUGUAAUCAGGGGGUUAGUGGUUCGAUUCCGCUAUCCAGCACCA